rnacentral:rRNA from 1 species
AUGAACGCUAGCGACGGGCCUAACACAUGCAAGUCAGGGGCAGCACAAGGAGCAAUCUGAGGUGGCGACCGGCGCACGGGUGAGUAACACGUAUGCAACCUGCCUGUAAGCGGGGAAUAACCCGUUGAAAGACGGACUAAUACCGCAUAAUACUAAAUUACUGCAUGGUAAUUUAUUUAAACAUUUAUGGCUUACAGAUGGGCAUGCGCAUGAUUAGCUAGUUGGAGAGGUAACGGCUCCCCAAGGCAACGAUCAUUAGGGGUUCUGAGAGGAAGGUCCCCCACACUGGUACUGAGACACGGACCAGACUCCUACGGGAGGCAGCAGUGAGGAAUAUUGGUCAAUGGACGAGAGUCUGAACCAGCCAAGUCGCGUGCAGGAAGAAUGUCCUAUUGGAUUGUAAACUGCUUUUGCAGGGGAAUAAAGUGCAUCACGUGUGAUGUUUUGUAUGUACUCUGCGAAUAAGGAUCGGCUAACUCCGUGCCAGCAGCAGC